UGGCUCUGGCGUCGAUGAAGAACGCAGCGAAACGCGAUAGGUAAUCUGAAUUGCAGAAUUCAGCGAAUGAUCGAAUCUUUGAACGCACAUGGCGCCCUCUGGUAUUCCGGGGGGCACGCCUGUCCGAGCGUCAUCACACCCCUCAAGCCUCGCUUGGUAUUGGGCCGCGCCGCUGUGUCGGCGGGCCUCAAACGUGCUGGCGGCGUCGUGGGCCCCCGAAGCGCACAUGGUCCUGCACCGCGCGCGAGGGUGGUCGCGUCGCCCGUCACGGUGGCCCCUCACCUCCAUAUCGACCUCGGAUCAGGCGGGGAUACCCGCUGA
rnacentral:misc_RNA from 1 species